AUAGAAUUUUACCGCUCCUAUCCAAUCCAUAUGAAGCCUCUAUUUCCACGACAAGACUACCGCACCUCUGGUCUUCCAUCAAGCAUUCUCGCGACCAUCCAAGGAAAAAAUAGCUUGAUAAUAACACAAGUCACGAGGUAUGUCAUUGUCACAUCUUUGUCGGCAUCAUAAAUUUCGGUUUCUUCUCCGCAGGUUUUAAGAUUUGAAAAGAGCACAUCAAAGUCUCAUCAACACUCAUCAUGGCACCAGCAUUA
rnacentral:misc_RNA from 1 species